UGGGGGCCAAAUUUGGUCGGAGGCGGUACAGACUUAGCUGGGAACCCAGCUAGGGUGUUCCAGCACGAGGAACUCAUAGUCGAGAUGAUCACUUGACGAAUUUUUAGCACAUGUUCUGGAGCGGUUACCAGGUGCGGUUUUAGUGUAGGCUCCAGUGGGACCACCAGGGGUUGCGAGUUUGCAACCGAAUGGUUAGACCAGCUUGGAGAC
rnacentral:lncRNA from 1 species